UGGCGGCGUGCUUUCCAAUGCAAGUGGAAAGCGAAAGCCUCCUUCGGGGGGCAAGUAGAGUGGCGCAUUGGUCACUAACACGUAGGUAAUCUACCUUUGGAUUGGGAAUAACAACCGGAAACGGUUGCUAAUACCGAAUAAUGCAGCGGCACCUAAUGGUGACAGUUGUUAAAGCGGGGGAUCGCAAGACCUCGCGUCUGAAGAGGAGCCUGCGGCGGAUUAGCUAGUUGGUAAGGUAACGGCUUACCAAGGCGAUGAUCCGUAGCCGGCCUGAGAGGGCGGUCGGCCACACUGACACUGACAUACGGGUCAGACUCCUACGGGAGGCAGCAGUGGG
rnacentral:rRNA from 1 species